UACAGAGGUGGCUAGCGUUGUUCGGAUUUAUUGGGCGUAAAGGGUCCGUAGGCGGUCCGGAAAGUCGGAUGUGAAAUCCCACAGCUCAACUGUGGAACUGCAUCCGAAACUUCCGGACUUGAGUGUGAGAGGGGUGAAGGGAAUUCCCGGUGUAAGGGUGAAAUCUGCAGAGAUCGGGAGGAACACCAGUCGCGAAGGCGCUUCACUGGCUCACUACUGACGCUCAGGGACGAAAGCUAGGGGAGCAAACGGG
rnacentral:rRNA from 1 species